ACUCAAGGCCUGAGGAUUAUGGAUAAUAUCUUUCCAAAGCAGUUCAAAUUCUGGUAUCCUAGCAACAUUCUGAAGCAGUCUUACGAGAUCCCGACCAAUCAUCAGACAUUCCAUGAACUUGAUAAGGAAGAGGAAGUGGGGGACAGGAAAGAGAAUAAAAACAUGGAUUGUUUACCUGCUGGAGGGAGGACAAAGGAACAACAUGUUCUAGGGAGGGAAGGAAAGAGGGUUAAAGAGACUAUAGGAUUUCUUCUGGAACCAAAGGAUUGGCUCCUAGCUGUUCAGGGGAAGACAGCUGGAAGCUGGAAGCUGGGGACUGAUAUCAAGAAUGAGAAAUCUUGACGCACCUUCGUCUCUAACAAGGUAUUUCUGACCUCACUGCAUAAACCUCCAGAGGCAUCUCAGCCUGAGUCUCACUUCCCCACAUUAUUUUUGUCCUGUUCCCUCACCCGUUCCCGAAGCAGUGAGAUGCAGAAGUCCACUUCCUUCUGUCGCAGGGCCUGGAGCUGGGCAGUCCCAUGGUGGUCCACGAUGAGGCGGAGGUACGUGUAAACAGCCAUGGCAAUGAGGAUGCUGCUCUUCAGGACCCACUCCCUGCAGGGAAGAAACACACUGGCUCCUAUGCUCUGUCUAGAACUAUUCACCCUCCCAAUUCACCCUUCCUGGGGUUGGCUACAGUGCCUCAGAAAUAACUGAUGAUUUGACACUGGGAGUAGAUGCUUUGAUUUUUUGCUUGCUCACUCAAGCUAGUAUCUAUCUUGGACUAACAACUGGCUAAGCUACGGACAACUUCCUAAUUUUCUCUUACAAGUGCCUAAAAGGUAACUGCCAAAUAAAAGCAAUCUCUUUUUACCACCUAA